UACGGAGGGUGCAAACGUUGCCUGACGAUUCGUGGCGUAAAGCGCACGUAGGCGGUCCUUUAAGUCGGGUGUGAAAGCCCUCGGCUCAACCGAGGAAGUGCAUUCGAAACUGGGGGACUUGAAUACUGGAGAGGAUGGCGGAAUUCCCGGUGUAGAGGUGAAAUUCGUAGAUAUCGGGAGGAACACCAGCGGCGAAGGCGGCCAUCUGGACAGAUAUUGACGCUGAGGUGCGAAAGCGUGGGGAGCAAACAGG
rnacentral:rRNA from 1 species